AUGUCUGCAAGUCCAGAGACAACCGCCCGGAUGGGAUGGAGCCGGAAAGCAUCAUCGAGAAUGAGACUGUGGAUAGCUUCGAUGACAUGAAUCUUUCAGAAUCCCUCCUCCGUGGUUUUUAUGCCUAUGGUUUUGAGAAGCCCUCCACCAUCCUGUAGCACGCUAUUCUUCCUUGUAUCAAGGGUUAUGAUGUGAUUGCUCAAGUCCAGUCUGGGACUGGGAAAACAGCUACGUUUGCCAUAUCAAUUCUGCAGCAGAUUGAAUUAGAUCUAAAGGCCACUCAGGCUUCGGUUCUGGUAUCCACUCGUGAAUUGGCUCAGCAGAUAUAAAAGGUGGUUAUGGCAUUAGGAGACUACAUGGAUGUCGCUUGUCAUGCCUGUAUUGGGGGCACCAAUGGGCGUGCUGUGGUGCAGAAGGUGUAAAUGGAAGCUCCCCAUAUCAUCAUGGGCACCCCUGGCCGGGUGUUUGAUAUGCUUAACUGAAGAUACCUGUCUCCCAAAUACAUCAAGAUGUUCGUACUGGAUGAAGCAGAUGAAAUGUUAAGCCGUGGGUUCAAGGAUCGGAUCUAUGAUAUAUUCCAAAAGCUCAACAGUAACAAAUAGGUUGUUUUUGUUUUCUGCUCCAGUACCUUCUGAUGUCCUUGAGAUGAUCAAAAAAUUGAUGAAAGACCCUAUUCAGAUUCUUGUCAAGAAGGAAAAGUUGACCCUGGAGAGUAUCCACCAAUUCUACAUUAAUGUGGAACAAGAGUAGUGGAAGCUUGACACAGUGUGUGACUUGUAUCACCCAGGCAGUAGUCGUUAUCAGUACCAAAAGGAAGGUGGACUGGCUCACUGAGAAGAUGCAUGCCCGGUAUCUCACUGUUUCUGCUAUGCAUGGAGAUAUGGACCAAACGUAUGAUGAGAUCAUGAGGGAGAUGAGAUCAUAAGGGAGUUCAAUGAAAUCAUGUGGGAGUUCUAGUCUGGCUCUAGCAGAGUAUUAAUUACCACUGACCUGUUGGCCAGAGGCAUUGAUGUACAGCAGGUCUCCUUAGUCAUCAUUUAUGACCAUCCCAGCAAGAGGGAAAACUACAUCCACAGAAUAAGUCAAGGUGGUCAGUUUGGCCGUAAGGGUGUGGCUAUUAACAUGGUGACAGAAGACAAGAAGAUUCUUCGAGACACUAAGACUUUCUACAACACCUCCAUUGAAGAGAUGCCCCUCAAUAUUGCUGAUCUCAUUUGA
rnacentral:lncRNA from 1 species